GUGACUUUGGGAUUUCCAGGUUUGUGAACACUCAGUUGAGGACUCAAAGAUCAAAUCCAGUGGGGACUCCUGGGUAUGUGGCCCCUGAAUUCCGACGAGAUGGGAGGGCAACUACACAAUCGGACAUGUAUAGCUUUGGGGUUGUGGCUUUGGAAAUUGCCUGUGGAGUGAGGAAUUUCAGAAAUAAUAAUGAUCAUCGACAGUUGUUAAAGGACGUCUGGCAAAAGUAUAAAGCAGGAAAAAUUCUUGAUGCAUCUGACAAAAGAUUAAAGAAGGAAUUUGAUCCGAAAGAAAUUGAAUGCUUGAUGAUAGUGGGUUUAUGGUGCGUGCACCCAACAGCCAACGAU
rnacentral:misc_RNA from 1 species